AUGGCUUCCUUGGUUUUAUUUUCACAUUUGGUGAGUUCAGUACGUGGUAAUAUUUGCUGACAGUGUCCUACACUUCAUGAUCCUACAUACAGGGAAAUGGGCCAAUUAAAAACAAUGGACAUGCAAGUCCAAGUGAAUCUGUUUAUUAGACGCUGCUGUGGCACUGAACAGGACAACUGUCCACAGGCACACUAAAUUUAACAUAGCAUUCGUAAAAGAAACGCAUGAAACAAGACCAGUAUGUAGAAGAUCUAGACAAGAAGAAAAACAAACUGUUGGGGGGAGUUUCUCUUCUGCACUGUUCAACCAAUCCAGUAAAUGUGGAGGAGGAGUUAUAGUGUCUCUUGGUUAACAGUGUUUCUAAACAUACUGUACCGUCUCUGUUGUUAACAUGUCACAGGCUCACUUUCCCCUUCCCCUGUUGUUGGGGACUCCGAAGCUGCUACAGGCACACAGACUAUCCAGUCUAAGUAGUUAAGACUAAUUAACGUCAUUAUACUGUCAAUGUCCCACACCACUAGGGCGACAUCUGCCAUAGCAGCAAGAUAGUGUUCUGCUGUCACGAAGUCUAGAAUGAUUACAUUAAGAGCCUCAACAGCAUGAUUGCUUAUCUCCAGUGAAUCUAGAUUUCGCUAGAGCGUAUUUUCAUUUUGACAACCAUACUCUCUGGCCGGCUCCUACUGUAGUGCAGCAGCUGAACACUACGUCUGUGGUUGCCUUUUUUUUUUUACAUACAACAUUAAUGUAUUGUGUAAUAUUGCAUAUUUCACCUCUAUUCACUUAAAACUGUCCAGACUAUUUCUGAAAAUGAAACAGACUACAUCAGGGCUCUCCAACCCUGUUCCUGGAGAGCUACCGACCUGUAGGUUCACACCCCAACCCUGUUCCCGGAGAGCUACUGUCCUGUAGGUUCACACUCCAACCCUGUUCCCGGAGAGCUACUGUCCUGUAGGUUCACACUCCAACCCUGUUCCUGGAGAGCUACCGACCUGUAGGUUUAAACUCCAACCCUGUUCCCGGAGAGCUACCGACCUGUAGGUUUAAACUCCAACCCUGUUCCUGGAGAGCUACCGACCUGUAGGUUUAAACUCCAACCCUGUUCCUGGAGAGCUACCAUCCUGUAGGUUUUCACUCCAACCCUGUUCCUAAAGAGCUACCGACCUGUAGGUUUU
ensembl:lncRNA